CUCUCUUUCCACUUCCCUGAGGAUGCAGGUGUCAGCCACUCUGAGGUUCAGUGGGAGCAGGACAAGAAGGAAGGCAGGGGUCUUAGUGGAACAGCAAAGAUUUAGUAUCCCUUCAAGAAAGUGGCUAUGAGGGCAAUGGGCAUCAAGGUUGGAUGGUGGCAGAUGGCCACCCAUGGUGGCCUAGUGACAGAAGGACAUGGAGAGGGAUGCAUGGAACCAGGGGUCAAGGUUUUGAACCCAGUUGCUGGCUGGUGGAGGCUGGAAUAUUCUUGGAAAUAAGGUUGCCCGUUUUGAUCAUUCGUGUUCAUGACUCAAUCUUUCCUCCUCCACACGGCCGCAGCAGACUGUUCGUGACCUUCUGCAAACAGAACACGCUUGCUGCUGCUCAGAGAUCCUGGGUCUCAGCCCUAGAUUCCAGGAAGCAAACAUGACUGACCCUGAGUGCCACAGGCCUGGCCAGGAGCCACCAGGCCUCAGGAGGACAGCUGGAUUCUACCUCUGCUAAGCAUCCAGGAGACUAGGUCUUCUAUAACUCUGAGGAUGAGAAUGACCUGGCUGAGGAUGACCGUGGGCAGCUGAUCUCCGUGCCUCUACUUCCUGUAUGCUGGAAUUACAAAUAUGUGCCACCAUGCCCUAUUUAUGUGGUGCUCAGUGUGGAACCCAGGGAUUUGUGAGAGCUGGGCAAACAUUUGGUCAGCUGCUCUCCCACCCCCAGAAUCUUUCCUAAGCGGUAUACUCUUCCUAUGUGCUAAAAUGAAAUAAGGAGAAGCCCAUCUCCUCACCCACCCCUGGUGUGUGUGUGUGUGUAUGUGUGUGAGUGUGCAUAUAUGUGUGAGUGAGUGUGCGUGUGUGUGUGUGUGUGUGUGUAUGUGUGUGAGUGUGCAUGUAUGUGUGAGUGAGUGUGCGUGUGUGUGUGUGUGUAUGUGUGUGAGUGUGCAUGUAUGUGUGAGUGAGUGUGCGUGUGUGUGCGUGUGUGUGUGUGUGUGUGUGUGUGUGUGUGUGUGAUGUCGGGAAUCAUCCUUUAUCACUUUCCCACUUUACUCUAUGAGGCAUGGUCCCUCAAUCAAACUCAGAGCACAUCAAUAAGACUAAUCUUGCCAGGGGGUGUGCUCUGGAGAUCCCGUCUCUGCCUCCCACGGCUGGAAUUGCAGGUAAGAUGUCGCUACCUGGGUUCCGGGGAUUCAAACUCCUAACUCCACUUCUUACACUUGUGCAGCAAGCACUUUAACCAUAGAGCCAUCUCCCCAGCCCCAGAAGGGAUGGUUCUAAGUGUCAUCUCUGACCUGACCCAUUGGCAGAAGGCUCCUUCCAGUGAGCAGGCCUGUCUGGUGGCUGCCUCAUGCACAUGAAGGGAGCUGGGAGCUCUGCUAGGAACUCAGGACCAAGGACGGUUAGGUUGGGCUCCUGGGUCCUCAGCCUUCAUUGUUUGAGGAUGGGGUGCUGUCUGGGUGGGUGCUGUGGGCUGAGCCAGCUGUGAGAUCUGGUAAAUGAGCUGGGCAAACAGAGUAAUGAGGGUGGUGGUGGUGGGGCAGGAAGAUUGGACAAACAAGAGCUGGUUCCCAGGGAUCUUAGCUGAGGCAGACAGCUUACCAGGCUAAAUUACUUCUUCUAAAUCCAAGGUCACAAACCACAAGGCAAGGAGUCCUACUCCAAUGAGUGUCAAGAACAGAUGACAGAGAUGAAACUAAGUACUGGGAAGAGGUCGUGUGACUCCUAAUGGUGUCCCUUUGACUGUGGCUUCUGAUGGAAGAGGAAACAGAACCUUUGUUGGAUCUCUAAAUUUGAGUUCAAGUUCACCAGUGAAUUCGCCAUGGAAUCCUGGAAGAGACUUGUAGCCUCCCUGGGUCACAGUCCCUUUGUCUUUGUGAUGGGGAUGACAUGUGUCCUCUAUGUCCUGAGAAGUGUUGGGAAGAGAGGGGGUAGACAGAUGGGACCUGUGUGAGCAGUGAUGAUGGAGGGUGAUACAGAAGGGUGACUGUAAAUCAGGCGUCCAGGCUGGGGUUGGUGAUACCAAUAGUGUGAUGGGAAGAAAAUUCUAGAAUGGUGUCUCUACAAAUUUCUUCAUCUGUGGGCACUGGAAACCUUGACCUUGUACUGUUUUAGAGAGCUGUCAACAACAUCACGAUGGCAGCAGCUUUUGCCUGCCCUUCCCCCAUUCCAUUGGGCUGUCUGGUUCUCAGAAUUGGCUGGACCUGCGCCAGGUGGGCCUGACACCAGUGUGCUGUCUGAGACUGCUGGCGACCAGACUCCAAGCUGAGCCUCCUAGGGAACCCCCAGCCUGCUCGAGGCAAUAUGGCUUCUGGGGAAUGUGAGGAGCUUGAGAGGAAUCAGAGUUGGUCAAUGAUAUUUCCUAGCUCCAUGACUGCCACUGUACAGUUGCCUCACACACUACGCUUUGAAACUGCCUUUGCUUUCGGUCAUUGUCCCAUUAAAAAUAUUUGCCAAGAGCUAACAUGGCCUCUGUACCGCUUGCAACCUAGUGAAUAAAUAAACAUGAAAAGAAU
ensembl:lncRNA